AUUGAACGCUGGCGGCAGGCCUAACACAUGCAAGUCGAACGGUAACAGGAAGAAGCUUGCUUCUUUGCUGACGAGUGGCGGACGGGUGAGUAAUGUCUGGGAAACUGCCUGAUGGAGGGAGAUAACUACUGGAAACGGUAGCUAAUACCGCAUAACGUCGCAAGACCAAAGAGGGGGACCUUCGGGCCUCUUGCCAUCGGAUGUGCCCAGAUGGGAUUAGCUAGUAGGUGGGGUAACGGCUCACCUAGGCGACGAUCCCUAGCUGGUCUGAGAGGAUGACCAGCCACACUGGAACUGAGACACGGUCCAGACUCCUACGGGAGGCAGCAGUGGGGAAUAUUGCACAAUGGGCGCAAGCCUGAUGCAGCCAUGCCGCGUGUAUGAAGAAGGCCUUCGGGUUGUAAAGUACUUUCAGCGGGGAGGAAGGGAGUAAAGUUAAUACCUUUGCUCAUUGACGUUACCCGCAGAAGAAGCACCGGCUAACUCCGUG
rnacentral:rRNA from 1 species